rnacentral:rRNA from 1 species
GAGUUUGAUCCUGGCUCAGGAUGAACGCUAGCGGCAGGCUUAAUACAUGCAAGUCGAACGGUAACAUGAGAGCUUGCUCUUGAUGACGAGUGGCGCACGGGUGCGUAACGCGUAUGCAACCUACCCUUUACUGGAGGAUAGCCCGGAGAAAUUCGGAUUAAUACUCCAUAGUACUAUAAAACAGCAUUGUUUAAUAGUUAAAGAUUUAUUGGUAAAGGAUGGGCAUGCGUGACAUUAGUUAGUUGGUGAGGUAAUGGCUCACCAAGACUAUGAUGUCUAGGGGUUCUGAGAGGAUGAUCCCCCACACUGGUACUGAGACACGGACCAGACUCCUACGGGAGGCAGCAGUAGGGAAUAUUGGUCAAUGGGCGAGAGCCUGAACCAGCCAUGCCGCGUGUAGGAAGACGGCCUUCUGGGUUGUAAACUACUUUUAUAUAGGAACAAAUUGACCAUGCGUGGUAACUUGAGUGUACUAUAUGAAUAAGCACCGGCUAACUCCGUGCCAGCAGCCGCGGUAAUACGGAGGGUGCAAGCGUUGUCCGGAUUUAUUGGGUUUAAAGGGUGCGUAGGUGGCG